GGGCGGUUAGCUCAGCGGCAGAGCGUUCGCCUUACACGCGAAGGGUCGGGGGUUCAAAUCCCUCACCGCCCA
rnacentral:tRNA from 1 species